rnacentral:rRNA from 1 species
UUUAGAUGGCGACCGGCGCACGGGUGAGUAACACGUAUCCAACCUGCCGAUGACUCGGGGAUAGCCUUUCGAAAGAAAGAUUAAUACCCGAUGGCAUAGUUCUUCCGCAUGGUAGAACUAUUAAAGAAUUUCGGUCAUCGAUGGGGAUGCGUUCCAUUAGGUUGUUGGCGGGGUAACGGCCCACCAGGCCUUCGAUGGAUAGGGGUUCUGAGAGGAAGGUCCCCCACAUUGGAACUGAGACACGGUCCAA